rnacentral:rRNA from 1 species
AUUGAACGCUGGCGGCAGGCCUAACACAUGCAAGUCGAACGAGUGGCGGACGGGUGAGUAAUGUCUGGGAAACUGCCCGAUGGAGGGGGAUAACUACUGGAAACGGUAGCUAAUACCGCAUACCAUCGGAUGUGCCCAGAUGGGAUUAGCUAGUAGGUGGGGUAACGGCUCACCUAGGCGACGAUCUCUUGCUGGUAUGAGAGGAUGACCAGCCACAUGGGAAGUGUGACACGGUCCAGAUUCCUACGAGAGGCAGCGGUGGGGAAUAUUGCACAAUGGGCGCAGGCCUGAGGCAGCCAGGCCGCGUGUAUGAAGAAGGCCUUCGGGUUGUAAAGUACUUUCAGCGAGGAGGCGUUACUCGCAGAAGAAGCACCGGCUAACUCCGUGCCAGCAGCCGCGGUAUUC